rnacentral:rRNA from 1 species
UACAGAGGGUGCAAGCGUUAAUCGGAAUUACUGGGCGUAAAGCGUGCGUAGACGGUUAUUUAAGUCAGGUGUGAAAGCCCCGGGCUCAACCUGGGAAUUGCAUUUGAGACUGAAUAGCUAGGGUGCGGAAGAGGGAAGCGGAAGUUUCCGGUGAUAGCGGUGAAAUGCGAUAGAUAUCGGAAGGAACAUCAGUGGCGAAAGCGGACUUCCUGGACCAAUACUGACGCUCAUGUGCGAAAGCG